AGCGAACGCUGGCGGCAGGCCUAACACAUGCAAGUCGAACGAACCUUUCGGGGUUAGUGGCGGACGGGUGAGUAACACGUGGGAACGUGCCUUUAGGUUCGGAAUAACUCAGGGAAACUUGUGCUAAUACCGAAUGUGCCCUUCGGGGGAAAGAUUUAUCGCCUUUAGAGCGGCCCGCGUCUGAUUAGCUAGUUGGUUGAGGUAAUGGCUCACCAAGGCGACGAUCAGUAGCUGGUCUGAGAGGAUGAUCAGCCACAUUGGGACUGAGACACGGCCCAAACUCCUACGGGAGGCAGCAGUGGGGAAUCUUGCGCAAUGGGCGGAAGCCUGACGGAGCCAUGCCGCGUGAAUGAUGAAGGUCUUAGGAUUGUAAAAUUCUUUCAACGGGGAAGAUAAUGACGGUACCCGGAGAAGAAGCCCCGGCUAACUUCGUG
rnacentral:rRNA from 1 species